rnacentral:tRNA from 1 species
GCCGCCUUAGCUCAGUGGUAGAGCGGCCCCUUCGUUUGGGGCAGGUCGUCUGUUCGAUUCAUUCAGGUGGCUCAA